AAAAAAUCUAGUAAUCUACCAAUAAAAAUUUCCUUUUAUUUAAUCAAAACAACUUUCCAAAACCUAAAAAGUAAAUCAGAUAGAUUUGGCCUCUCUAUAUAAAUUGAGUUAUCUAAUUAAGUGUUUUGUGUGUUGAACCAAGAUGGAAGAAGCAACGACGACCGGUGAAGAAACGAUGUGGUGUGGUCACUGCUGCGUUAAAACUCCGAUCCGCCGUGAAGGGAACGCUGGUUCUGUCAAGUCGUGUGAUUGGUGUGGAAAAGUGCUAGCAGAUGAAACUGGAACCGCUGAAGAAUAUAAUCAACUCUUUCUUCGAUUUCAAGCUUUGCAAGACUCUCUUACUCUUACCAACAUGAGAAGUAGACGAAUCAAGAAAACUAGACGAAUCAAGAGAACUAGACGAAUAAACUGAUUUUAUUUUGUUCAUGUUUUUUGAACAGAGAUUAGGGUUUCAUCUCUUGGCCGGUUUAGUUUGGUUAGUGAACCCGAG